CUUACUUGUUGCAAACAAACGCCUCAGGCGAGGAAUUAAAGGGAAAUACCAUGCAACUUUCUAAGGAGCUCCACUCCUCCUUGUCUCAUCACCCCAUCAUUUCUUCGUUUGUAUCGAGGGGUUCCACACUUGGGGCAUUCGGUUAAAUCUGCAUUAUCACCACGGAACAAGAUGCAGUCAUUCUUACAAGCAUGUAUUUUUUCCACCUCCAACCCCA
rnacentral:lncRNA from 1 species